rfam:Haemonchus placei strain MHpl1 genome assembly, scaffold: HPLM_contig0000098
AGCCCAAAUUUGAAGUAGAUCAGAUCAGAAGGAUCAUCUGACCCUACUGAACUACUCUACUUCGAGUUUGUGCCC